rnacentral:rRNA from 1 species
UUGCGGUUAAAAAGCUCGUAGUUGGAUUUCUGUCUGAGGCGACCGGUCCACUUUCUGAGUGAGCAUCUGGUCCGCUUUGGGCAUCCUCCUGGGGAACGUUUCUGCGACUUGAUUGUGUGGUACGGGAUCUAGGACUUUUACUUUGAGGAAAUUAGAGUGUUCACUGCAGGCAUACGCCUUGAAUACGUUAGCAUGGAAUAAUAAGAUAGGACCUCGGUUCUAUUUUUUCGGUUUCUAGAGCUGAGGUAAUGAUUAACAGGGAUAGUUGGGGGCAUUCGUAUUUAACUGUCAGAGGUGAAAUUCUUGGAUUU